rnacentral:rRNA from 1 species
GUCCUGGCCGUAAACGAUGGGUACUAGGUGUAGGAGGUAUCGACCCCUUCUGUGCCGGAGUUAACGCAAUAAGUACCCCGCCUGGGGAGUACGUCCGCAAGGAUGAAACUCAAAGGAAUUGACGGGGCCCGCACAAGCGGUGGAGUAUGUGGUUUAAUUCGACGCAACGCGAAGAACCUUACCAAGGCUUGACAUUGAAUGACCGCUCCAGAGAUGGAGCUUUCCCUCGGGGACAUGAAAACAGGUGGUGCAUGGCUGUCGU